rnacentral:rRNA from 1 species
AGUGAACGCUGGCGGUAGGCCUAACACAUGCAAGUCGAACGGCAGCACAGAGGAGCUUGCUCCUUGGGUGGCGAGUGGCGGACGGGUGAGGAAUACAUCGGAAUCUACUCUGUCGUGGGGGAUAACGUAGGGAAACUUACGCUAAUACCGCAUACGACCUACGGGUGAAAGCAGGGGAUCUUCGGACCUUGCGCGAUUGAAUGAGCCGAUGUCGGAUUAGCUAGUUGGCGGGGUAAAGGCCCACCAAGGCGACGAUCCGUAGCUGGUCUGAGAGGAUGAUCAGCCACACGGGAACUGAGAAACGGUCCAGACUCCUACGGGAGGAAGCAGUGGGGAAUAUUGGACAAUGGGCGCAAGCCUGAUCCAGCCAUACCGCGUGGGUGAAGAAGGCCUUCGGGUUGUAAAGCCCUUUUGUUGGGAAAGAAAUCCAUCUGGUUAAUACCCGGGUGGGAUGACGGUACCCAAAGAAUAAGCACCGGCUAACUUCGUGCCAGCAGCCGCCGUAA